UACGUAGGGUGCGAGCGUUAAUCGGAAUUACUGGGCGUAAAGCGUGCGCAGGCGGUUUUGUAAGCCAGGUGUGAAAUCCCCGGGCUCAACCUGGGAAUGGCAUUUGGGACUGCAAGGCUGGAGUGUGGCAGAGGGGGGUGGAAUUCCGCGUGUAGCAGUGAAAUGCGUAGAGAUGCGGAGGAACACCGAUGGCGAAGGCAGCCCCCUGGGCUAGCACUGACGCUCAGGCACGAAAGCGUGGGGAGCAAACAGG
rnacentral:rRNA from 1 species